rnacentral:rRNA from 1 species
GCGAACGCUGGCGGCAGGCUUAACACAUGCAAGUCGAACGGGCACUUCGGUGUCAGUGGCAGACGGGUGAGUAACGCGUGGGAACGUACCUUUUGGUUCGGAACAACACAGGGAAACUUGUGCUAAUAUCGGAUAAGCCCUUACGGGGAAAGAUUUAUCGCCGAAAGAUCGGCCCGCGUCUGAUUAGCUAGUUGGUAGGGUAAUGGCCUACCAAGGCGACGAUCAGUAGCUGGUCUGAGAGGAUGAUCAGCCACAUUGGGACUGAGACACGGCCCAAACUCCUACGGGAGGCAGCAGUGGGGAAUAUUGGACAAUGGGCGAAAGCCUGAUCCAGCCAUGCCGCGUGAGUGAUGAAGGCCUUAGGGUUGUAAAGCUCUUUUGUGCGGGAAGAUAAUGACGGUACCGCAAGAAUAAGCCCCGGCUAACUUCGU